rnacentral:rRNA from 1 species
AUGCCCAGGAGGGAGAUCCGUUUGGGUGUCUGUCCCAUCGAGGACGACAAACAGCGCAGUGUCACCUUCUCCAAACGACGUGCUGGUUUGUUUAAAAGCGCCAGUAACCUCUCCGCCCUCACUGGCGUGAAGGUUGUUGUUGUCCUAGAGAGUGAAUCAGGAAAGAUGCAUGCCUUUGGGACGCCAUCGGUGAACCCUAUUAUUGAUGCUUUCUUGUCAAGGGAUCCACUUAUUGAGCCACUCGCCGACAAGGCGGGAAAAGCUAGGAUUGCAUCGCUGCAGAGCAAGGUGGCUAGGUUGGACAUGGAGAAUACAGUGCUAGAGAAGAGAGCAAACCUCUCCCUCCAGCAUAUCAAGAAGAUACAAGCUGAAAACCCAGGGAUGGUGGCAAAUAAUAUCUUUUCGAGGGAAAAAGAUCUCAGUCUUGGAGAUCUCAACAGACUCUUCAAUGACCUCUUGCGAAUCAAGGAGCAUAUUAGACACCGUAUGCCUGCACUACAUCAUGGCCAUGAAAUAAGGACUGGUGGUCAAAACGUGCAACAAAUCCAGUUGCUGCCAAGAGGUCCAUCACAAGAUCACUCGAAGACUCAUCAAGCGUCAUUGCAACCAUCAUCAUCUCGCCGUUUUUCACCUCAAGUGUUGCCUCCAGUUCCACUACCACCAACACCACAACACAUUAUGGGACGAUCUUUUCAUAUGCAGGUACCACAGAUGUUCCAGACCCAACCAUCACCUUUGGCGCCCCGGUUGAGGUCCCUUAUGCAACCAAUUCCUCAUCAGGUACCACAACUAUUUCAGUCCACACCACCACCUCCACCUCCGACUCCCCUGUUGGCAUCCCUUCUACAACUGGAUCUUGACCAGGUACAUGGUUUACCUCCACCACCUCAGCCAAAACUUCAAGAAUAUGCAAGUCCUUACAAGACAAAGGAGCCAUCACAGAACAAGACAAUCCCUAACUCAAUCGUUGAGAACAUUUCGGAGGCAUCCCCACGGUUCUUUUCAUCCGGUGGCAAUGAUAUCUCUCCUUAUGCUCCUUUGGACCAGGCGCUCUACAAUGAAAUCCAAGGGAUGGAUUCUUACUUGGGGUGCAAUAGUAAUGAUGUAGGCCAAUAUAACAUGGGACGUGAAGAGUGGGUCAAUGCACCACCAGAGUCUUCUCGCGGGAAUGAUGAUGAUAUUGAUGCAUGA